UACGUAGGGGGCAAGCGUUGUCCGAAUUUAUUGGGCGUAAAGAGCGUGUAGGCGGCCAUACAGGUCAGCUGUGAAAACUCGAGGCUCAACCUCGAGACGUCGGUUGAAACCGUAUGGCUAGAGUCCGGAAGAGGAGAGUGGAAUUCCCGGUGUAGCGGUGAAAUGCGCAGAUAUCGGGAAGAACACCCGUGGCGAAGGCGGCUCACUGGCCCGGUACUGACGCUGAGGCACGAAAGCGUGGGGAGCAAACAGG
rnacentral:rRNA from 1 species